rnacentral:rRNA from 1 species
UGGGUGAUCUGCCCUGCACUUUGGGAUAAGCCUGGGAAACUGGGUCUAAUACCGAAUACACCUCAUAGACUGCAUGGUUUGUGGGGGAAAGCUUUUGCGGUGUGGGAUGGGCCCGCGGCCUAUCAGCUUGUUGGUGGGGUGAUGGCCUACCAAGGCGACGACGGGUAGCCGGCCUGAGAGGGCGACCGGCCACACUGGGACUGAGACACGGCCCAGACUCCUACGGGAGCA